rnacentral:tRNA from 1 species
GCCUGGGUGGCUCAGUCGGUUAAGCGCCCGACUUCAGCUCAGGUCACGAUCUCGCGGUCCGCGAGUUCGAGCCCCGCGUCGGGCU